AGUAUUUUUAUUGUCUUGUUCUACAGAUAGACACAAUGUCAUGAUAUGAAGAAUAACCUUGAUUACUCCAAUGUUACUAGUGACCAUGUAUAACCAGCACCAUUUACAAGCCUUUAAUGUGAACAAAACCACCUGCUGAACUGCUCAGCCUGCCUUAUACCUGAGAGAUGGCAAGAUGAAUCUUCUUCCCCUGGCAUGCCAGGAUAGGCAAAGUCAGUUCACACCAUUGCCCACAAAGAUGUACCAGUUCCACCUGUCUCAAAUACCAGUAAAAUUAUAAUUAUA